rnacentral:rRNA from 1 species
GGCCCUGCAUGUCUAGGUAUAAGCAUUAUACCGUGAAACUGCGAAUGGCUCAUUAAAUCAGUUAUCGUUUAUUUGAUAGUACCUUACUACUUGGAUAACCGUGGUAAUUCUAGAGCUAAUACAUGCUGAAAACCCCGACUUACGAAGGGGUGUAUUUAUUAGAUAAAAAACCAACGCCCUUCGGGGCUUCUUGGUGAUUCAUGAUAACUUUACGGAUCGCAUGGCCUUGCGCCGGCGACGGUUCAUUCAAAUUUCUGCCCUAUCAACUUUCGAUGGUAAGGUAUUGGCUUACCAUGGUUUCAACGGGUAACGGGGAAUUAGGGUUCGAUUCCGGAGAGGGAGCCUGAGAAACGGCUACCACAUCCAAGGAAGGCAGCAGGCGCGCAAAUUACCCAAUCCCGACACGGGGAGGUAGUGACAAUAAAUACUGAUACAGGGCUCUUUUGGGUCUUGUAAUUGGAAUGAGUACAAUUUAAACCUCUUAACGAGGAACAAUUGGAGGGCAAGUCUGGUGCCAGCAGCCGCGGUAAUUCCAGCUCCAAUAGCGUAUAUUAAAGUUGUUGCAGUUAAAAAGCUCGUAGUUGAACCUUGGGUCUGGCUGGCAGGUCCGCCUCACCGCGUGUACUUGUCCGGCCGGGCCUUCCUUCUGGAGAACCUCAUGCCCUUCACUGGGCGUGUUGGGGACCAGGACUUUUACUUUGAAAAAAUUAGAGUGUUCAAAGCAGGCCUUUGCUCGAAUACGUUAGCAUGGAAUAAUAGAAUAGGACGUGCGGUCCUAUUUUGUUGGUUUCUAGGACCGCCGUAAUGAUUAAUAGGGACAGUCGGGGGCAUCAGUAUUCAAUUGUCAGAGGUGAAAUUCUUGGAUUUAUUGAAGACUAACUACUGCGAAAGCAUUUGCCAAGGAUGUUUUCAUUAAUCAGUGAACGAAAGUUAGGGGAUCGAAGACGAUCAGAUACCGUCGUAGUCUUAACCGUAAACUAUGCCGACUAGGGAUCGGGCGAUGUUCUUUUUCUGACUCGCUCGGCACCUUACGAGAAAUCAAAGUUUUUGGGUCUGGGGGGAGUAUUCCCCCG